AACGAACGCUGGCGGCAUGCCUAACACAUGCAAGUCGAACGAGACCUUCGGGUCUAGUGGCGCACGGGUGCGUAACGCGUGGGAACUUUCCCUUAGGUUCGGAAUAACUCCCCGAAAGGGGUGCUAAUACCGGAUAAUGUCUUCGGACCAAAGAUUUAUCGCCUUUGGAUGUGCCCGCGUUGGAUUAGCUAGUUGUUAGGGUAAAAGCCUACCAAGGCGACGAUCCAUAGCUGGUCUGAGAGGAUGAUCAGCCACACUGGGACUGAGACACGGCCCAGACUCCUACGGGAGGCAGCAGUGGGGAAUAUUGGACAAUGGGCGAAAGGCUGAUCCAGCAAUGCCGGGUGAGUGAUGAAGGCCUUAGGGUUGUAAAGCUCUUUUACCCGGGAUGAUAAUGACAGUACCGGGAGAAUAAGCUCCGGCUAACUCCGUG
rnacentral:rRNA from 1 species